GACGAACGCUGGCGGCGUGCCUAACACAUGCAAGUCGAACGGAAAGGCCCUGAGUUUGUGGGGUUCUCGAGUGGCGAAGGCGGGAGUAUAACGUGAGUAUCCUGCCCUUGACUUUCGGGUAAAUUCAGGAAACUGGGGCUAAUAUACGAUAGGAGCUCCUGCUGCAUGGGGGGGGUUGGAAAGUUUCGGCGGUUGGGGAUGGACUCGCGGCUUAUCAGCUAGUUGGUGGGGUAGUGGCUGACCAAGGCUUUGACGGGUAGCCGGCCUGGGAGGGUGACCGGCCACAUUGGGCCUGAGAGACGGACCAGACUCCUACGGGAGGCAGCAGUGGGGAAUAUUGCACAAUGGGCGGAAGCCUGAUGCAGCAACGCCGCGUGCGGGAUGACGGCCUUCGGGUUGUAAACCGCUUUCGCCUGUGACGAAGCGUGAGUGACGGUAAUGGAUAAAGAAGCACCGGCUAACUACGUG
rnacentral:rRNA from 1 species